rnacentral:lncRNA from 1 species
GAGCACUCAGUAAGAAAGGAUAGCUUUUCUCCCUUUUCUGCUUCGCUCCCAACUAAGAAUGCAGAGUCAGGGAGAUGGCGCAGAGACAAUGCUGCUGUCCAUUGAAGCCCUCCAAAGGUCGGAGAUUCGAUCACAGGACAGCCUGGCCUGGACCAAGUCAGGUUGAUAUGGCUAGGCGGCCUGCUGGCGAGAUAGUGGGAGUGGGCGGUCCGCCCCUCAGGACCUCUGACUUGGACAGAUGACUGGAUGACUCUCUGGGGCAGCAUUCACCGGAACUCAUAUGGAGGGGACUGCCUGAGAAACCAACCUGUGUGCCUGGGUCAGGUUGAUAUGGCUAGGCGGCCUGCUGGCGAGAUAGUGGGAGUGGGCGGCCCGCCCCUCAGGACCUCUGACCUGGACAGAUGACUGGAUGACUCUCUGGGGCAGCAUUCACCGGAACUCAUAUGGAGAGGACUGCCUGAGAAACCAACCUGUGUGCCUGGGUCAGGUUGAUAUGGCUAGGCGGCCUGCUGGCGAGAUAGUGGGAGUGGGCGGUCCGCCCCUCAGGACCUCUGAUUUGGACAGAUGACUGGAUGACUCUCUGGGGCAGCAUUCACCGGAACUCAUAUGGAGGGGACUGCCUGAGAAACCAACCUGUGUGCCUGGGUCAGGUUGAUAUGGCUAGGCGGCCUGCUGGCGAGAUAGUGGGAGUGGGCGGUCCGCCCCUCAGGACCUCUGACUUGGACAGAUGACUGGAUGACUCUCUGGGGCAGCAUUCACCGGAACUCAUAUGGAGGGGGCUGCCUGAGAAACCAACCUGUGUGCCUGGGUCAGGUUGAUAUGGCUAGGCGGCCUGCUGGCGAGAUAGUGGGAGUGGGCGGUCCGCCCCUCAGGACCUCUGACUUGGACAGAUGACUGGAUGACUCUCUGGGGCAGCAUUCACCGGAACUCAUAUGGAGGGGGCUGCCUGAGAAACCAACCUGUGUGCCUGGGUCAGGUUGAUAUGGCUAGGCGGCCUGCUGGCGAGAUAGUGGGAGUGGGCGGUCCGCCCCUCAGGACCUCUGACUUGGACAGAUGACUGGAUGACUCUCUGGGGCAGCAUUCACCGGAACUCAUAUGGAGGGGGCUGCCUGAGAAACCAACCUGUGUGCCUGGCCCACCACCUACCAGAGGUAUUGGAAAAGAACGGAUACGGAGGAAGUGGACCCAUUUAGAGGUGAUUAUUUGGAGCAAAUCCCAUCUGCUUUGUCAGUUAUUGAGCAGUUCCGUUCAUAGGCUGGCAAUGGCAGCUUGAUCCACUCUCAAAGUCUUCAUGGAUACACCAGCAGUCCGUUCAGUAAAGUCCAGAUAGCAGCAGUUGCACGACCUAGCAGGAACAACCAGGCCUCAGCUGAAGACAGUAGUCUACAGGAGGCAUUGGACUAGCAUGAAUGUCAGGAGAAACUUACAGCUGUGCCUCUCUUAAGGAAGUGAAGAUCAGUGAAGACAGGAGACCAAAAGGCGUUUAGCUGUGCAAGCAAGCCAAGCCCUUCUCCCAGUCCCUCCAAACAUCACUAGUCCUCCACAGGACUUGUCUCACCAUGUGUUGCCUCAGCAAAACUCACCUUUACAAACACAGCUUUGAAGGCCAGUUUUUUGAGUUAAUAAUGUAAACAAAUGUUAUUCUACGACAAACGUAGAAUUCAAGAGAAAAAUGGAGUAAUGAGUAAACCAGACAUUAAAAAAGAUUCUAUAAAUGAUCGAAUUACCUUUAGGCUACUGCAGCUUAGGUAUAAUGUAAGGGGAGUAAUAAUCUACAAAUAAGCAAAUGAGCCAAGAUGACCAAGAUGGAAAUGGUUUGAUUAGGAAUUUGAUUAGGGAAGUUCUGCCAAGGCAGGGAUAGUUGGGGUGGACACCUUUAGUCCCAGCACUGGGGCUUUAUGCAUGCUAAGGACGAGCUCUAUUGCUGGGCCCCACGCUCUAGAGUCAAUGCUCUAAAAUACUGCACAAACUAAUUCUCAGACAUUAACUGCAGGAAGAAUGCUCUAAUCCUAGAUGAGUGUUUUCAAAACAAAACUUAGCAGCGAAGACCAAAAAAUACAGAAAAAGCACCCAAAACAGACGAAAUGCCAGUUCAUCAGGAAGCCAAAACUUGACAGAAAUAUCUCUCAAAUAACAUUUAAUCUCUCUCCCUUUGUUCUAAUCCUGUCCCCACCCAGCAACCACCUGAUGUGUAAUUUGGUUUUCUAAGUGACCAUAGCCAUCGGUCAGAGACACUAAGCUGGGCCCAAAUAAAAGAAGAAAAUAAAUAAGAAGUUAAAUUAAGUUAAAACCCUUGGGUCUCACUUGAACCAAUAUCUCUUAAAUUUUUGUACAUCGUUGACACCCCUGAGGAUAUUUACAUUUUUCACCUUUAGCGACUAGAAUGUGUAUCAUCUAGCCAGGCAAUGGUACACACCUUUCUUUAAUCCCAAUACUCAGGAGGCAGAGGCAGGUAGAUCCCAGUGUUUGAGGCCAGCCUGGUCUACAGAGAGAGCCUAGGUAGGCCAGGGUUACACAGAGAAACCAAGUCCUAAGAAAAGAGAGGUGUGGGGAAGGGAGAAAUUGUGUAUCACUGUAUGAUCUUUCUUUCCUAAGUUCUACUUGGCUACCUUCUUGUAUGUUCUCAGUAGAUGCUAAUCCUAUUUACAUUGUGGCAUUUUGGUGCUUGUAUUAAGCAAAUCACAAUGGGCCUUCCUUAGGACUGGACUGGAAGGGAACAAUUUCAAUGUCUUUAAGAAGGCAGAGAGAGCCAGAAAAUGGCCGCGGCUAAGAAUUAAGUUUACAAAACCUUCCAGCUGGUAAAUUCCUUACAAAGUACAAAACAGUGUGUAAUUAUUUUCCAAGCGUUUUGUGUGAUUGUCUUUCCAAUCUCCAGUUUAAAAAAGCAGAAAUCAAACCUAGCAGUACAUCUCUGAAGCAAUGACAGCAAUCUAACGUUCCAGAGAAAUGAGGGAGCACGCUGGUUUCACCAGAAUCCAUCCUACCAGUAACGUUAUUCACCGAGAGCUAAGGUCAUGGUUGAUGGUGAACUUUUCCCAUUCUGAAUUUGAUAUGAACAUAACAUUUUAAUAAUAUGAGCAUCUAAGAAACAGACCCAGAUCAAAAGCGGUUUUAACUGGAAACUAAAAUUGCAAUCAGCAGGCACGAUGGUACCUCUUUAUUUUCUCAUUAAAGCUGCCAACAUUCUGGAACCCAUUUCUGGCUCACUCACUGCUUCUAAUGCUUCUAACUACACACACACACACUGUGUGUGUGUGUGAGAAGGGAGAGGCUUUGUAUUCGGAAGACUUGUCAUUUUGUUUUGUUUUGUUUUGUUUUGUUUUGUUUUGUUUUGUUUUUCGAGACAGGGUUUCUCUGUGUAACCCUGGCUCUCCUGGAACUCACCUUGUAGACCAGGCUGGCCUUGAACUCAGAAAUCCUCCUGCCACUGCCUCCCAAUUGCUGUGAUUACAGGCAUGCACCAUCACUGCCCGGCCAAGACAUCUUUUUUUUUCUUUUUUCAAACAUAAAUAGUGUACUUUAUUAAAAAUAAAAUUGUAACAGAAUAACUUAGUAAUGACAAAUCAAGUAACAUAACAAGAUACCAACAAAAGGAAUGAAGAGGCAUUGCUCCAGCUCACUAGUGAUCUCCUUUAAACAGGAAAGGCUGCUAGUCUAGCGGUUCUGGCCCCAUCUGUACAACAC